AAAACAUGUCCUUUAGUGUUAAUUAAAAUUAAAGGUCUGGCCUGCCCGGUGAUUUUUUAAACGGCCGCAGUAUUCUGACUGUGCGAAGGUAGCAUAAUCAUUUGUCUUUUAAUUGAAGGCUUGUAUGAAUGGUUGGACGAGGAAUUGACUAUUUUUAUUUAAAUUUUAUGAAUUUAAUUUUUUAGUUAAAAAGCUUAAAUAUAUUUGCAAGACGAGAAGACCCUAUAGAAUUUUAUUAUUUACAUUUAAUUUAUUUUUUUUGUUUAUAGUUAAGUUUGUUUAAUGUAAUUAAUUUUGUUGGGGCGACAGUGAAAAUUAAUUAACUUUCAUUAUUUAUAAUUCAUUAAUUUAUGUUUUACUUGAUCCUUAAUUUUAGGAUUAUAAGAUUAAAUUACCUUAGGGAUAACAGCGUAAUUUCUUUGGCGAGUUCAUAUCGAUGAAGAAGUUUGCGACCUCGAUGUUGGAUUAAAGUUAGUCUUUGGUGCAGGAGCUAUAAGAC
rnacentral:rRNA from 1 species